GUAUCCUGGCUCAGGAUGAACGCUAGCUACAGGCUUAACACAUGCAAGUCGAGGGGGCGAGCAUGGUCUUAGCUUGCUAAGGCCGAUGGCGACCGGCGCACGGGUGAGUAACACGUAUCCAACCUGCCGUCUACUCUUGGACAGCCUUCUGAAAGGAAGAUUAAUACAAGAUGGCAUCAUGAGUUCACAUGUUCACAUGAUUAAAGGUAUUCCGGGUAGACGAUGGGG
rnacentral:rRNA from 1 species